rfam:Erinaceus europaeus unplaced genomic scaffold scaffold00055, whole genome shotgun sequence
CUGCAGCCAGCUGCACCCACUCUGCUGGCCUCCGCGUGGGGCUGGGUGUGCAGUGGCUUCAAUAGUGGCCUCCGUGCUCCUGUCUGCAGCCGGCUGCUGGGAUGGGCUGCCCUAAGGGACCCUGGAGACAGCA